rnacentral:rRNA from 1 species
GAUGAACGCUGGCGGCGUGCUUAACACAUGCAAGUCGAACGGUGAAGGCGGAGCUUGCUCUGCUGGAUCAGUGGCGAACGGGUGAGUAACACGUGAGCAAUCUGCCCCUGACUCUGGGAUAAGCGCUGGAAACGGCGUCUAAUACUGGAUACGAGCUGCGAAGGCAUCUUCAGCAGCUGGAAAGAACUUCGGUAAGGGAUGAGCUCGCGGCCUAUCAGCUUGUUGGUGAGGUAACGGCUCACCAAGGCGUCGACGGCUAGCCGGCCUGAGAGGGUGACCGGCCACACUGGGACUGAGACACGGACCAGACUCCAACGGGAGGCAGCAGUGGGGAAUAUUGCACAAUGGGCGAGAGCCUGAUGCAGCAACGCCGCGUGAGGGACGACGGCCUUCGGGUUGUAAACCUCUUUUAGCAGGGAAGAAGCGAAAGUGACGGUACCUGCAGAAAAAGCGCCGGCUAACUACGUG